rnacentral:rRNA from 1 species
GAUGAACGCUGGCGGCGUGCCUAAUACAUGCAAGUCGAGCGAACAGACGAGGAGCUUGCUCCUUUGACGUUAGCGGCGGACGGGUGAGUAACACGUAGAUAACCUACCUAUAAGACUGGGAUAACUUCGGGAAACCGGAGCUAAUACCGGAUAAUAUUUCGAACCGCAUGGUUCGAUAGUGAAAGAUGGCUUUGCUGUCACUUAUAGAUGGACCUGCGCCGUAUUAGCUAGUUGGUAAGGUAACGGCUUACCAAGGCAACGAUACGUAGCCGACCUGAGAGGGUGAUCGGCCACACUGGAACUGAGACACGGUCCAGACUCCUACGGGAGGCAGCAGUAGGGAAUCUUCCGCAAUGGGCGAAAGCCUGACGGAGCAACGCCGCGUGAGUGAUGAAGGUCUUCGGAUCGUAAAACUCUGUUAUUAGGGAAGAACAAACGUGUAAGUAACUGUGCACGUCUUGACGGUACCUAAUCAGAAAGCCACGGCUAACUACGUG